CUAUAUCUAUUGAUGCUGAGAAAAAUGUAGGACAAGUUGUCUGGUCAUCACUGUUACUGCUGUGCUUCCCAGCCCCAGAGUACCCUGAGGAUAAUUGUUUGCUUUUUUGGAAAUGGGGGAGGAAGCACUUCCCCAGACAACUUUUUUGAAAUGCCACCUCUAUGAAAAAAGAUGUAUGUGCCUGCCCACCCCAUGUAUUUAUCUCUCUUCCUCCAUAAUCCCUCUGAAAGAACCUCAAAAAAGUACAGCCUUCUCAGUUGUGCUUAUUAGAAAAACCCAUUGCAAUUCACAUUGGGUGCAUAGCACUCAGAGCCCAAUAAAUAAAUAAAUAAAUAAAAUCCCUUUUGUGUGGCUUUAAUUUUCUUCCAUUCUUUUAAUGGAUAGGUUAAAAUUGGUUUCCCUGAUCAUAGGCCAUAUCAUGUGCCUUUCCCUGCUGGUAAAAUCUUGCCAGGAUAAGGUAAAGGAUAUGUUGCUGAAAAUUAUUCGUGCUUCUCUAUGAGAGAAGAACUUCCUCCAGCCUGUGGAAGAGACUGUAAUUCACCUUUUGUUGAAGAAAACCUAUCUUUAUUGAGGUUAUUAUAGGCCAAUUUCAAAUCUGCUUUUCUUCUAGAAAGGGAUUGAGAGGGUGGUAGCAUAGCAACUCCAGCGGUUUCCCGACAACACCUCUUUGUGUUACUGUUUUUUAUCUGGCUUCAAACCUAGCUAUGGAACAGAGGUGGCCUAGGAUCCUCUUAUUUGUAGAGCAAUAAAGAUAACUCUCCUCUGGACUUGCUUGAUCUCUGGCACUUUUGUGAAAAUAUUCACAACAAGGUUGUGAAAAUAUUAUUGAUGGAGGGUAGCCCAAAAGCCAUGUGAUACCUUUUAUUAAGCACAACCAAAAUAACACAAUACAAGGUGCAGACUUUUGAGUUCUCCAGACUAAAUAUUGAAACCAAACAAGCAAGCAAGCAAAAAAAAAAGAAAAAAAAAGGAGGGGGGCGGGAGAGAGGAGAAAAAGCACAUUUUUCAUGCUGGCAGGGGCUGAUGGGAAUUGUAGUCCAUAACAUCUGGAGUAGGAUAUCUGUGGGUGGCUUAACUAACUGUGGCUAGCUGAGUGUGGCUAGCUGUUAUCAGAUGCUGGGAAGAAAAACUGAAAAACAUCCAGUUUAAAAUAUAAUAACCAAGGGUUAACCAAAUGGAGACAACAAGAGCUGAAUGAAUAUUUUGCAUCAUUUUUCUCUGCAGAGGAUAUUGGAUAGAUACCCACAGAUGAGCCAUGUGGGGUGUGUGUUUGUGUGGAGCAUCUCUGAAGAAGGUCAGGGAGGUCAGAUGUGUGGAAGAACUCUGCCCAAACCAAUUCCAGUGCUUGUGGAUUGACUGCCAAGAAAAUCAGGGUUUGGCCAAAGAAGCUGUUUGGAGACUGGCCUGAAGUGGUGUGCAACCCAAACAAAGGAGACAUCGUAUGCUGUCCUCUUCCCACCACAUGCAAAGUUCUGUCAUUGCAUGGCCAGUU